CAGGAGUGAUGGUAAAGAGACUGGAUUAGGCAAAGGACAAAAAAGCAACUUGUGACUCUAUCGGGGGAGAUGCUUCCCCAUCAGAGAGCUGUAAUUAGUUGGUCCUUGGCUGGUGUGCACUCAUUGCCUGCUACCAAUUGUCUUCAGAACCUCAGAACAUUCAGUUUUCACCUCUGAAAAAUUGAUUGCAAGUGUCGAUGAACCUCCCACUGGUGCUCAGCCGGGCCUUGAACUCAUAAGAUCUGCUGGACUCUGAAUCCUGAAUGCUGGGAUUAAAGGAAAGGGGAGGUACGUGCCAAGACACAUGCCGAAGUCAGAGGACAACUGUGAGAGUUGGCCGUUCACCUAGUAGUCUCCAGGAUCGAUCUUAGGUCUUCACGCUUGGCCGCAAGCGCCUUCACACACUGAGCCAUCCAGGUGGCCACGGUGAUAGUCUUGAAAAUAUUAUUAAGUAAAGUUUCAGUGCAUUUUAAAAUUAUUUUAAAAUUAAAAAUAAACAUUUUUAAAUG
rnacentral:lncRNA from 1 species